AUACCGGGCCUUUUUGGGCUUGGUAAUUGGAAUGAGGGAGAGUUAAACGGACCAUCGAGUAUCCAUUGGAGGGCAAGUCUGGUGCCAGCAGCUGCGGUAAUACCAGCUCCAAUAGCGUAUAUUAAAGUUGUUGCAGUUAAAAAGCUCGUAGUUGGACUUGUGUGCGCUGUCCGCGGGUGGCCUGCGCCCAAAAGGGCGUUUCGGUUCGGCCCCGGUGGCGCCUUGAAAUCUGCAGCUGGGGGGACGUUGGCCUUAACUGGUCGGCGACCGCACGCCGGCUGCUCGGUUACUGUGAGAAAAUUAGAGUGUUCAAGGCAGGCAUUGGGUGCAAUUGAAUACAUUAGCAUGGAAUAAUAAAAUAUGGCUCCUGCCGUAUUUUGUUGGUUUUGACUGGUGGGAGUAAUGAUUGAUAGGGACGGUUGGGGGUGCUAGUAUUGAGCGGCCAGAGGUGAAAUUCAUGGAUUCGCUCAAGACUAACUUAUGCGAAAGCAUUCACCAAGGACGUCCUCUUUAAUCAAGAACGAAAGUUGGGGGAUCGAAGACGAUCAGAUACCGUCGUAGUCUCAACCAUAAACUAUGUCGACUUGGGAUCGGCGGUAGUUUUUUCAUUAAGACACUGUCGGGACCACGGGAGAAAUCAAAGUGUCUGGACUCUGGGGGAAGUAUGGUCGCAAGGCUGAAACUUGAAGGAAUUGACGGAAGGGCACCACCAGGAGUGGAGCCUGCGGCUUAAUUUGACCCAACACGGGGAAACUUACCAGGUCCAGAGAUAUAGAGGAUUGACAGAUUGAAGCUCUUUCUUGAUCACUUCGGUGGUGGUGCAUGGCCGUUCUUAGUUGGUGGAGUGAUUUGUCUGGUUAAUUCCGUUAACGAACGAGACCUCAGCCUGCUAGUGUAGUCGGCUGGAUUGCCUUUGGCGAUCCGUGAUUUCGACUUCUUAGAGGGACAAUCGACGCGCAGUCGAUGGAAGUUUGAGGCAAUAACAGGUCUGUGAUGCCCUUAGAUGUUCUGGGCCGCACGCGCGCUACACUGCUGGGCUCAGCGAGUUUUACUUGGCCGAGAGGCCCGGUUAAUCUUGUGAAAUCCCAGCGUGCUUGGGCUCGCCUCCUGCAACUGGAGGCGCCAACGAGGAAUUCCUAGUAGACGCAGGUCAUCAACCUGCAUCGAUUACGUCCCUGCCCUUUGUACACACCGCCCGUCGUUCCAUAAGAGUGAGGCAUCCGGUGAAUUCUCGGGAGAGCCUGGGCGUGGCCAGCAAUGGUCUGCUCGGGUUUGAACUUGCAUAAACUUGGUGCCUAUGAUUAGGG
rnacentral:rRNA from 1 species